UACAAGCAUAACUUGGGUGCCCAAUCUAUUGCCACUCUCGCGGAUCGCAUGGUAAGUUCAACCGCUUUUUCUUUAAUUAUUUAAGUUUCAGAAUUUUAUUUUUUAUGCAUUUUUUCAAAUUUCUAAUGUUUGUUUAAUUUAUUUUUUUUUCAAGGCGGAAGAAAAUGAGGGCGAGCCGGUUGAUGAUCUCGCCCUAAUGAAAAGGACGUAUACCAACAAGAAGACCGGUCAGAUUGAUGAUGGUCUUGUGAGGGAGGUGGUCGACCUGGUCCAAACUCAGGUGUACGACGAAGUAUCUCAGCUUCAAACCGAUGAUGACGACUCGACGGCUUCGACCAACUUGUCCCGGGUUCGAAUCGAAUCGGUAAGUUUUUUUUUUAAAAGUUCAAUUUAUUUAUUUCUUGAUUUUUAUUUUAUCAUCAAUUUAUAUUAUCUAAAUUUAGUUUUUUAUAUUUCAGUCGGUUCCAAAGAAGAAGGGACGUAUGGUCGGUUUGGGUCGUCGCUCCCGGUCGGCUGCUCCUUCUUCUGCACCACCGCCAUAUGUUGAUCCGGAAGUUCUUACGGCUCAGCUGAAGGACAAGGAUGAUCGGAUAUCUGCGUUGGAGACCCAGAUGGCAGCUCAACAGGCGGGCUAUGAGACCCAGAAGAGGCUCAACGAGCAGAUGAUGGAGAUGAUGAAGAGGAUGUACCCGAACGAGGUGUUCCCGAACAUCCAAGACCCGUAGUUUUUUUUUUUUUUUACCAAAAACUCUGAAUGUUUUAUUUAACUUUGAAUAUUAUCUACUAUGUUUUAUUUAAUGUUUUAUUCAAUUUUAAUUUUAAUUUUAAAUUUUUAAAUUUAAAUUUAAAAAAUUUAAAUUUUUUUAAAAAAAAUAAAUUUUUUCGAAAUUCCGAGGGAAUGGAGUUCCUCGGAAAAUUCCGAGGGAGUUUUGUCCCUCGGAAUUUUCCGAGGAACUCCAUUCCCUCGGAAAAUUCCGAGGGAAAUAUGUUCCUCGAAAUUUUCCGAUAAACAUUCCGAGGAAUGUUUUGUCGAAACUUCCGAGGAUUUGACCAUCGGAAUUCCAUCGGUAUAUUCCGAGGAACCUUCCGACGAACAUAUGUUUCUCGGAGUUUCC
rnacentral:lncRNA from 1 species